CACGUAGGGCGCAAGCGUUUGUCCGGAAUUAUUGGGCGUAAAGAGCUCGUAGGUGGUUUGCUGCGUCCGCUGUGAAAACCCAAGGCUUAACCUUGGGCUUGCAGUGGAUACGGGCAGACUAGAGGUAGGGAGGGGAGAAUGGAAUUCCCGGUGUAGCGGUGAAAUGCGCAGAUAUCGGGAGGAACACCGGUGGCGAAGGCGGUUCUCUGGGCCUUACCUGACACUGAGGAGCGAAAGCGUGGGGAGCGAACAGG
rnacentral:rRNA from 1 species